rnacentral:rRNA from 1 species
UACGUAGGGUGCGAGCGUUGUCCGGAAUUAUUGGGCGUAAAGAGCUCGUAGGCGGUGUGUCACGUCGGCCGUGAAAACCUGCAGCUUAACUGUGGGCUUGCGGUCGAUACGGGCAUCACUGGAGUUCGGCAGGGGAGACUGGAAUUCCUGGUGUAGCGGUGAAAUGCGCAGAUAUCAGGAGGAACACCGGUGGCGAAGGCGGGUCUCUGGGCCGAUGACUGACGCUGAGGAGCGAAAGCGUGGGGAGCGAACGGG